CGAGGCUAUGUGAUGCNCNUCAAAGAGUCGAGUUGUUUGGGNAUGCAGCUCAAAAUGGGUGGUAAAUUCCAUCUAAAGCUAAAUAUUGGGGAGAGACCGAUAGCGCACAAGUACCGUGAGGGAAAGAUGAAAAGCACUUUGGAAAGAGAGUUAAACAGUACGUGAAAUUGCUGAAAGGGAAACGCUUGAAGUCAGUCGCGUCCGCUUGGACUCAGCCGUGGUUCUCCACGGUGUACUUCCAUGCGGAUGGGCCAACAUCAAUUUUGUUCGCCGUACAAAGGCGUUGGGAAUGUGGCACUCUUCGGGGUGUGUUAUAGCCCUUCGUUGUAUGCGGUGGAUGGGAUUGAGGAACGCAGCGCGCCGUAAGGCUGGGAUUUAUCCACACACGCGCUUCGGAUGUUGGCGUAAUGGCUUUAAACGACCCGUCUUGAAACACGGACCAAGGAGUCUAACAUGCAAGCGAGUGUUAGGGUGUAAAAACCCUUGCGCGAAAUGAAAGUGAAAAGUUGGGAGUCCUCGAGGAUGCACCGACGCCCGGUCCUGAAGUUUUCUGACGGAUCUGCGGCAGAGCUUGUAUGCUGGGACCCGAAAGAUGGUGAACUAUGCCUGCAUAGGGCGAAGCCAGAGGAAACUCUGGUGGAGGCUCGUAGC
rnacentral:rRNA from 1 species